rnacentral:lncRNA from 1 species
GUGAUAUACACUAUCACCGAUCAAUCUAAAGCUUCCAUGAUAACAGAAACCAUACAAGACAUAAGAAAAUAAGGACUUCAACAAAGCUUAAACUACGCCCUUAAGAUGAAUCAUUAAUAGCACUAGCAAGGUUUGCACAAUGAUUUUUACCAAUUGAUUCAUUUCAGAUGUUGAAAACCAGUGCCUGAUAUGUGACCAUGCUCAGAUUUUGGAGGCCACCGCCGGACAAAACUUGAAUGCUUUUCUGGGUCAUUCUAUUUGUCAAACUGAAGCCUAUAUGCUUGAAUAUAUUUUGAAGAUUGAAUUCAAGACGUACCACUAGUGAGAUCAUUGCCACCAAGACCCUGCCA